UGCGCAGGCGCGGACCAGAGCGAUCUUUUCUGAGGAGCCGGCAACAUGGCAGAAGUAGAGCAGAAGAAGAAGCGGACCUUCCGCAAGUUCACCUACCGCGGCGUGGACCUGGACCAGCUGCUGGACAUGUCCUACGAGCCGCUGAUGCAGCUGUACAGUGCGCGCCAGCGGCGGCUGCUGAACCUGGGCCUGCGGCGGAAGCAGCACUCCCUGCUGAAGCGCCUGCGCAAGGCCAAGAAGGAGGCGCCGCCCAUGGAGAAGCCGGAAGUGGUGAAGACGCACCUGCGGGACAUGAUCAUCCUGCCCGAGAUGGUGGGCAGCAUGGUGGGCGUCUACAAAGGCAAGACCUUCAACCAGGUGGAGAUCAAGCCCCAGAUGAUCGGCCACUACCUAGGCGAGUUCUCCAUCACCUACAAGCCAGUAAAGCACAGCCGGCCUGGCAUCGGGGCCACCCACUCCUCCCGCUUUAUCCCUCUCAAAUAGUGGCUCAGCUAAUAAAGGCACACAUGGUUCCAAAAAAAAAAAAAAAGAAAA